AGUCACGUGGCCCGGCUCGGCCGCCCCAGCACCAUGGAGACUGCACGCUGUGCUCCUAGAAGGGCACUUGGAGGCCCGCCUCACCUCGCCGCUCUAGCGGGAAGGCCGCGGAGCACCGAGGAGAGGGCGACGCUCUCCCCACAGCGAUGCUCCUCUCGAUGGUUGGCACAUUCCUGCCUUUCUAGCUUACAGAUGCAAUCAGUUCAAAAAGCUGUAAUCAGUUCAAAAUCACUUUUAAGACCCAGUGCCUAUUGGAAUCUAAAUAAUUAGCAGCUCUUAAAAGGCUCUUGUAGGAAAGUGCCACUGCCAGUGUCUGAGAGGAUGGCGCCGCCCAGCCCGCGCCGAUGCCACAAUCUUUCUCUACAAUUGCUGCUGGGUGCUCACAGCCCACACCUCUGUGUUACACAGUCCAGUUUAAAGGGUCCUCUUCUCGCCUUUCUUUGUCUGCUUUGGAGCAGCGUGACGACUGCCUCUCUGUAGCUAAGGAAGGUCUUCUGCUCCUUUCUGACUCAGAACAGCAGAGAAGGCUGGAGGGAGGUCUGCUGUGUCACCAACCACAAGGUGGUGACCCAAGAGUGCACAUCAGCAUUCCCAGGGGAACCAAAAGACUGCCUGGGCCAAAGGAGUAAGAAAUGCCCGUAUUGUAUCCACGUGUUUCCCUAGAAACCCUGACGGGGAGGUUUGCAAAGCAAGUCUACAGACUGCCAACGUGAGAACCGAGUGCUUAGCAUCAUUUCAUAAAACAAACCAACCAACCAACCUGAGACUGGAGAAAGCAGAUCAACUCCUCAAACUUGUCCUGACCUCCACACUAUGGCUAUGGCAUGUUCUUAUCCACCCCGCCCCCAACACAAAUAAAUGAAAUUUUUUUAAAAAAAUGUU